rnacentral:rRNA from 1 species
GAUGAACGCUGGCGGCAUGCCUAACACAUGCAAGUCGAACGGUGCCUUCGGGCACAGUGGCGCACGGGUGAGUAACACGUGGGAACCUGCCUUUCGGUUCGGAACAACGUCUGGAAACGGACGCUAACGCCGGAUACGCCCAUCCAGCGAUGGUUGGGGAAAGUUUACGCCGAGAGAGGGGCCCGCGCCGGAUUAGGUAGUUGGUGGGGUAACGGCCUACCAAGCCGACGAUCCGUAGCUGGUCUGAGAGGAUGAUCAGCCACACUGGGACUGAGACACGGCCCAGACUCCUACGGGAGGCAGCAGUGGGGAAUAUUGGACAAUGGGCGCAAGCCUGAUCCAGCAAUGCCGCGUGAGUGAUGAAGGCCUUAGGGUUGUAAAGCUCUUUCGCACGCGACGAUGAUGACGGUAGCGUGAGAAGAAGCCCGGCUAACUUCGUGCCAGCAGCCGCGGUAAGUACGCAGCGA